CUCCACGUGGGAGUUGUCCCAUUUUCACGGUAAUUGAGAUUCAGAAAACAGAUUUUCUGCUAAAGAUGCUGAUGUGCAGUUUAACCGGCUCUUCACCCUGGAGGAGGCUUGUAUUAUGACAGAAUAUUGAGAGAGAAAGACAGAAAGAAACACGUGAUCGGGGUGACAGCAGCUCAUCCCAAAGUCAGAGCAGAGCCACGUUUUCUUCACUUUAUUGAAUCAUGAGUUUCCUGCGAGCAUAAUCAGUUAUUUUACCUCAUGUGUCAUUAAAGAAAGAGACAAACACAAGUCAUGAGGGGAAAUCAGGGAGAUAUUUUCAUUUGAGGAAGCUGCUCGCCAAAAAAUCUCCCCUGUGGCAGUUUUACUGUCGUAUAAUUACAUUAAGAGAUUGUUCAAACAGUUGAGACAACACUCUGGAUAUCUAAAAGCCUCAUGAGAGAGGAUUUAUAACAGCACUGAUGGAUCACACUUAAUUUGAACAGCUGUUACAAUAAAAUGAUGGUGUGAGGCUCCAUUAUUUGUGCAGUAGGUCUCCCUCUAGUGGCUGAAUUUGGGUCUACAAGACAUUUACACAUGAUUUAAAAAAAUCAUUUAUUCCUUUAUUCUGAGUGGCUGACUGCAGCUGUAGUUAAAGCAGGUACAAUGCACAUUUUUCUGUUAGUUUUAAUGGCUUUAACCCGGUAUUUAUGUGCAUGGGCCCUAGUAGGUGCAAAAAGUUCAAUGUUUUAUGUCUUUGGAAAAGUGUCUCUACCCAACAAUGAGAGACUAAGAUGUAGAAGCUGCAAAUCAUCCGAGGAGAAAAUGCCGCAGAUCAUAUGAGGUUAUUUCAUCCUCAUUGGUGUCAAAUGCCGACUUGGUCAGUCUGUUUUUUUUGUCAUUUCAUCAAAAACUGUUAAAACAUCUAAAACACAAAACCACAAACAUAAAAAUUGAUAAAAAGCAGCCGUCAAUCAGCUGUUACACUGAAACCUUUAAGGGGAAAAAUAAAAAAUAGAAAAGUUAAAAUAACCUGGUUGCAUAAAUAUACACACCCUUAAACUAAUACUUUGUUGCAGCACCUUUGGCUUUUAUUACAGCACUCAGUCUUUUUGGGUAGGAGUCUAUCAGUGUGGCACAUCUUGAUGUGGAAAUAUUUGCCCACUUUUCUUUGCAAAACCGCUCCAAAUCUGACAGAUUGCGAGGGCAUCUCCUGUGCACAGCCCUCUUCAGAUCAGCCCACAAAUGUUCGAUGGGAUUCAGGUCUGGACUCCGGCUGGGCUGUUCCAAAGUCUCAGUCUUAUUCCGGUGAAGCCGUUCUUUUGUUGGUUUAGAUGUGUGCUUUGGGUCAUUGUCAUGCUGAAAGAUGAAGUUCCUCUUCAUCUUCAGCUUUCUAGCACAAGGCCGAAGGUUUUGUGCCAACACUGACUGGUAUUUGGAACUGUUCAUAAUUCCCUCCACCCUGACUAAGGCACGAGAUCCAGCUGAAGAAAAACAGCCCCAAAGCAUGAUGCUGCCACCACCAUGCUUCACUGUAGGUAUGGUGUUCUUUUGGUAAUGAGCAGUGUUGAUUUUGAGCCAAAUAUAUCUUCUGCAAUGAUACCCAAAAAGUUCAACUUUGGUUUCAUCAGACCAUGACACAUUUUCCCACAUGUGUUUGGGAGAUUUCAGAUGUCUUUUUGCUAAAUUAAACCAGGCUUAGAUGUUUUACUUUGUAAGAUAAGGCUUCCGUCUUGCCACCCUACCCCAUAGCCCAGACAUAUGAAGAGGACAGGAGAUUGUUGUCACAUGUACUACACAGCCAGUACUCACCAGAAAUUCCUGCAGCUCCUUUAGUGUUGCUGUCGGCCUCUUGGUAUCCUCCCUGACCAGUUUUCUUCUUGUGUUAUCAUCAAUUUUGAACGGAUGUCCUGUUCUUGGUAAUGUCACCGUUGUGCCAUUUUUUCUCCACUUGAUGAUGACGGUCUCUACUGUGUUUCAUGGUAUAUUUAAUUCCUUGGAAAUUCUUUUGUAGCCUCACCUGACUGAUAUCUUUGAAUAAUGAGAUCCCUCUGAUGCCUUGGAAGCUCUCUGUGGACCAUGGCUUAUUGGACGCUUAAUGCGUUGUGGUUACAUUUAUUUGCGGUACAAGUUUGUCUCCUCCACCGUCCAGUUUUUCUGUUUGUUCGCCAUGUUUGUUUUUGUUUGGGCGCGCUCUGCGUACGUCACUACAUGCCUCUUACGUUCUACGGAGCGCCUGCGCAGACCGAACAAGCCUCUCCGUAAACCCAAUCCGUUCCACUCAACCGUAUAUAUGGAGCAUGGAGCGGAUUAUGAAUCGGUGUAGACUACCUUUUACAAUCCGACCCGAAAUACAAUCAGAUCCGGGUGAAUCAGAUUGCCCAGGGUGUUUAUAUGAGACAUUUUGAAUCUGAUUGACCUUUCAAUCUGAUUGUAAAUAGGAUUUUUGGACCCAUGUAAACGGGGCUAUUAAAGGUGGAAGAAGUCUUGAUGUAAUUUUUUUACAUGACAAAAACCUGGCAGUUGACCAGGGGUGUGUAGACUUUUUAUAUCCACUGUAUUUUGUUAAUUUUUUAAAUUAUAUAUAUUUUUUAUGAUUAAUUAUUUUGACUUUUUUGUACUAAAUCUCCUCU